ACGAACGCUAGCGGCGUGCUUAACACAUGCAAGUCGAGCGGUAAGGCCCUUCGGGGUACACGAGCGGCGAACGGGUGAGUAACACGUGGGUGAUCUGCCUUGCACUUCGGGAUAAGCCUGGGAAACUGGGUCUAAUACCGGAUAUGACCUCGAAUCGCAUGGUUCGGGGUGGAAAGAUUUAUCGGUGCGAGAUGGGCCCGCGGCCUAUCAGCUUGUUGGUGAGGUAACGGCUCACCAAGGCGACGACGGGUAGCCGACCUGAGAGGGUGACCGGCCACACUGGGACUGAGACACGGCCCAGACUCCUACGGGAGGCAGCAGUGGGGAAUAUUGCACAAUGGGCGCAAGCCUGAUGCAGCGACGCCGCGUGCGGGAUGACGGCCUUCGGGUUGUAAACCGCUUUUGACAGGGACGAAGCGCAAGUGACUGUACCUGUAGAAUAAGGACCGGCCAACUACGU
rnacentral:rRNA from 1 species